rnacentral:rRNA from 1 species
UACGUAGGGGGCAAGCGUUGUCCGGAAUCAUUGGGCGUAAAGCGCGUGUAGGCGGCCAGAAAAGUCCGCUGUGAAAACUCGAGGCUCAACUUCGAGCUGUCGGUGGAAACUUUCUGGCUAGAGUCCGGAAGAGGAGAAUGGAAUUCCUGGUGUAGCGGUGAAAUGCGCAGAUAUCAGGAAGAACACCCGUGGCGAAGGCGGUUCUCUGGGACGGUACUGACGCUGAGACGUGAAAGCGUGGGGAGCAAACAGG